AGAACGAACGCUGGCGGCAGGCCUCAAACAUGCAAGUCUAGGGGGUGCAGCAAUGCAUCACCGGCGGACGGGUGCGUAACACGUGGGAAUAUACCUUUCGGUACGGAACAACUGCGGGAAACUGCAGCUAAUACCGUAUACGUCCUUACGGAGAAAGAUUUAUCGCCGAAGGAUUAGCCCGCGUAGGAUUAGCUAGUUGGUGGGGUAAUGGCUCACCAAGGCUCCGAUCCUUAGCUGUUCUGAGAGGAAGAUCAGCCACACUGGGACUGAGACACGGCCCAGACUCCUACGGGAGGCAGCAGUUGGGAAUCUUGGACAAUGGGGGAAACCCUGAUCCAGCCAUGCCGCGUGAGUGAUGAAGGCCUUCGGGUUGUAAAACUCUUUCGACGGGGACGAUAAUGACGGUACCCGUAGAAGAAGCUCCGGCUAACUUCGUGCCAGCAGCCGC
rnacentral:rRNA from 1 species